CCCACAUAUGGCCUCACCUCUAGCUCUAGAAGUAACUAAUCUAUUUUCUGUCUCUAUGAGUAAUAUGAUUUGGCUCUGUGUCCUCACCCAAAUCUCAUGUCGAAUUGUAAUUCCCAGUGUUGAAGGACAGGCCUGGUGAGAGGUGAUUAAAUCAUGGAGGUGGACUUCCCCCUUGCUGUUCUUGUGAUAGAGUUCUCCCAAGAUCUGCUUGUUUAAAAGUGUGUAGAACCUCCUCCUACUCCCACUGGCCAUGUGAAGAUGUCCCUGCUUCCCCUUCACCUUCUGCCAUGUGAGAUCUUUGGGGGCUUGGAUGGAGGAACAGGAAAAGAGGAGCCAGGCUUUUUUGGAAAAUUGGCGGCAGCGGUGGCAUACGGGAAACUGAAAUCUUUAUCUAAUCUCAUCCUUUGUAUAUUCGUCUUGGAUUUGCUGAAGAAAAUUAAAAGGCCAGGCCUACCACUCCUAUGGCACAGUAUUGAUGAGAGACAUCAGUGGAGCUCCCCACCUCCACCCCAGGCUUGGAACUUAGGGAAUGACUGGUUUUUGUCAUUUCACACAACAGCUGAAGGAUUCUGUCCCCACCUCGUCCUCUGUGAAGUCUGCUGGACGUACCUGCCAGAAUCUUCUGAAGAUGACGUUUGCUGAACACUGACCCACAGGGGUUUGAUGGAUUAUUGACAAUGAGACAAGCUGUCUUUUCAUCAAUUAGAUAUUCCAGUUGUUUCAGGUCAAUUUCCCAAGAUUUCUCUGGCUGGAGAGAAAGAAAGGAUGAGACUAAGAUGAUUCUGAAACAUUUAGGGGGAAUCCUCACUUAUCUCAAGGGUCCAAUGUAAGCAAUAAAGUCUGUCUCUGGCUUCAACCACCACUUUGAGACCUUCCUCUGCUGAAGUAAUGUUCAUAUAUUUUUU
rnacentral:lncRNA from 1 species